AGUGGUGUGACUCAGUGGUAGGAUGCUUUGCCUAUCAUGCAUGAGGUUCUGGGUUCAAUCCCCAGCACAACAA
rnacentral:tRNA from 1 species